UUAUUAUUACUACUAUGCUGCAGCUAAUUUAAUUUUCAGAGAUUCCACCGACUACCACAACUACCACAACCACCACAACUACUACUAGCACCACCACCAUUUCUACCACCAAAGUCACCCAACAGACUGGUGACGGGAACUUACCUUGGUUACCUGGCAUAGAAGAUAUGGUAGAAGGGUCAGGAUGGUCCGGCCGACACACUCCCAGCCCCGUCGUCGCCUCUAGCAGGAAUGCCGGCAAGAAUGGCACAGCUGCUGUCAGUGUUGAGGAAGACUCGGGGGGUCAACACCAGCAACAGCGAGAUCCUCAAGACUCGUGGGAUAAAAAUCAAGAGAGAAAAACCUACUCCUACA